rnacentral:rRNA from 1 species
GACGAACGCUGGCGGCGUGCUUAACACAUGCAAGUCGAACGAUGAUGCUGGAGCUUGCUCCAGUUGAUUAGUGGCGAACGGGUGAGUAACACGUGAGCAAUCUGCCCUUGACUCUGGGAUAACUGCGGGAAACUGUAGCUAAUACCGGAUACUUUCACCGGGGGGCAUCCUCUGGUGAUGAAAGAAUUUCGGUCAAGGAUGAGCUCGCGGCCUAGCAGCUUGUUGGUGAGGUAACGGCUCACCAAGGCGACGACGGGUAACCGGCCUGAGAGGGUGACCGGUCACACUGGGACUGAGACACGGCCCAGACUCCGACGGGAGGCAGCAGUGGGGAAUAUUGCACAAUGGGCGCAAGCCUGAUGCAGCAACGCCGCGUGAGGGAUGAAGGCCUUCGGGUUGUAAACCUCUUUUAGCAGGGAAGAAGCGAAAGUGACGGUACCUGCAGAAAAAGCACCGGCUAACUACGUGCCAGCCGCCGCCGUAA